rnacentral:rRNA from 1 species
UACAGAGGGUGCGAGCGUUAAUCGGAAUUACUGGGCGUAAAGCGCGCGUAGGCGGCUUUUCAAGUCGAUUGUGAAAUCCCCGGGCUUAACCUGGGAAUGGCGUUUGAAACUACGGAGCUGGAGUGUGGCAGAGGGAGGUAGGAUUCCACGUGUAGCGGUGAAAUGCGUAGAUAUGUGGAGGAAGACCGAUGGCGAAGGCAGCCUGCUGGGCCAACACUGACGCUCAUGCACGAAAGCGUGGGGAGCAAACAGG